GUAAAGCAGCCGAUGUAAAAGGGGUGUGUGCGUGUGGAGGAUCCCUGGCUCUCACACCUGAGUUCUGCUUAGGAUCUGCUGGGAAAUCCUGGCACUGCUGAGUGAAUGAACACAUUGUCCCUGCUCUGGCUUCUAGGGUAUGCUGAGUGAUUCUCUGAGACCCUGUGAGCAUUAAAGCCAGUAAAGAGGGGGAAUUUCAUGCGGAGAAGACCAGCCUGUCCACUUCCAGUGUGUUACCGGAAGGAGAUGAACUCAAGAGUGACUUGGCCGGUUAGUCUUAAAACACCUCUGGAGUCCCUGAACGUGCACAGAAGAAAGCAGCUGCAAAACUUAUAGAACCUUAAAGAAGGGAAUAUUCUACAAAACCCACUUCAGAUGGGGCCACAGGAGACAAUCAGCAAGGAGAAACUUCUGAAAGCCAAGUCAGGAACCACAAAAAGUAAUGAGAGUGGCAGAUUCUCCCAGAGAGCAGAGUCAGCGUGUAAUUAGGAGUAUUUCUCCACUGUAAGCAAAUUGGCUCACAACGUGAUUAUGGUGGCUGAGGUCUCACAAUAGCCAUCAGCAAGCUGGAGCAGCAGGAAAACCAGUGGUAUAAUUCAAUCCUACUCUAACAGCCUGAGACCCAGGGAGCCUCUGGUGUAAGCCCUGAAGGCUGAAGGCUCAGGAACCAGGAGCUCUCGUGUCUGAAGGUAGGAGAAAAUAGAUGUCCAGCUCAAGAAGAGAGUGAAUUUGCCUUUCUUUGCCUUUUUAAAAUUCUAUUUGGGCCAUAAACAGAUUGAAUGAUGUUCACCCACCUUGAUGAGGUUGAUCUUUGCUCAGUGUACUGAUUCAAAAGCUAAUUGCUUCUGAAAACGCCCUCACAGACACACCCGUAAUAGUGUUUAAGCAGAUAUCUGGGCAUCCCUUAGCCAGUCAAGUUGACACAUUAAAUUAACUGUCACAUUACAUCAAAACCUAGUGGUUUAAACAGCAAUUUAUAAUUUUUCAUUAGUCUGUGCACUGGCUGGAGAGUUCUGUUGAUCUGUGACAGACAUGGCUGAUCUUGGCUGGGCUUGCCCAUGUGUCUGUGGUCACCUAGUAGGUCAGCUAGGGGCUGAGUGGUCUAGAAUGACUGAAGCUGAGACAGAUCAGCUUUGUUCCGUGUAGUCUCUUAUUGUCCAGUAGGUAAGUCUGGGUUUGUUCUUGUGGCAGUGGCAGGGUUCUGAGUGACAGUGGAAGUGCACAAGCCCAGAACUGGCACAUCAUCACUGUUGCUGCAUCCUAUUGACCAAAGCAGGUCAGAGACUGGAUUCAUAGGUAUGGAGAUCUCUCCAUAUCUUUACGGGAAUGUCUGUGAAGUCAUCUUGCUAAGGGCAUAAAUACAGGGAGAGAGAUGGGGAGAUUGGGGCCAAUUUAAUAUUUAAUCUACCAUGCUCCAUGACUGGCCAAAUUUCUUAAUUCCUCUAAUCUUUAGUAUCUUCAUCUGAGAAAUGGGAAAUAACAAUAUCUAUUUCAUUGUGGUGAGUAUUAAAUAGGAUGAAACAUAUAGGACACUUGAUAAUGCCUCCUGUGGUGUUUGGUAAUGACAGCAGUUGCAGUGCUCAGUGAAGACAGCAGUUAGUAUGAUUACGUUACUGUUAUUAUUGUUGUUGCAAUAAUAACUGGUUAUUAUCAUAAUGAUUACAAAGACUGGCAGAAAACUGUGGUUCUGAUAAGGGAUAGCAAAUGCUUCCAUGGUAAACCUGACUUUGAUGGUGUAGGGACAAAGAGGGGGAAUAAGGGCAAAAAAGAUUGAGUGGUUUGGCUCUGUGUCCCCACCCAAAUCUCAUGUUGAAUUGUGAUCUUUGGUGUUGGAGGAGGGAGGCUGGUGGGAAGUGGUUGAAUCAUGGGGGCAGACUUCUCCCUUGCUGUUCUUGUGAUGGUGAAUGAGUUUUCAUGAAAUCUAGUUGUUUGAAAAUAUGUAGCACUUCCCCUUUCCUCUUUCUGUCACUCCCGCCACCACGUGAAGACGUGCUUGCUUCUUAUGCCCUUACACCAUGAUUGUAAGUUUCCUGAGUCCCCAGCCACACCUUCUAUACAGGCUGUGGAACUGUGAGGCAAUUAAACCUCUUUUCUUUGUAAAUUACCCAGUCUCAGGCAGUUAUUUAUAGCAGUGUGAGAAUGGGAUGAUACAAAGGUGUGAUAUCUUUCUUUACCCAUCAUAAGGGUCAUAGCCAGUGCUCCUUUAUAACAGAGGACAGAUUAGCAAGAGAAGAACAUAAUAGAUUUCUUUAAUCAAAGUUUUAGGUGACACAGUAUCCUUCAAAAAUGAAGAGCCAAAGACUCAGGCAAAACUGUCCAUUUUAAUGCUUAGAUUAGAUGAAGAAUGGACAGCCAUGUAGAGAGGCAAUUAGACAAAAGGGAAUGACCUCAUGGUAGUAGACUGAUGGCAGGGGGACCAACAAAGCCUGUCUGUUCAGACUCUUCUUGGCCUUUCUCUACAUUCCUCCCACUCAGGUAUAGGGCAGAACCCCUCUGGAAUGAGGGUCUUAUUACCUAUUCUCAGACAAGGUGGAUCAGAGAAUUUCUUUAUGGUUGGGCUCCUACACAGAAAGGCAGGAGAAGGUUAAGGUAAUACAUCUGGGUUUUAUGGCUUGCUCUGGGGCAGAGGGGCUCUACUUUCUUGAAACCACCUUUGGGAAGAAGAAUUUUGGUCUCUAUUACUUGCUUCAUGGGAGAAGAGAGGUAACAGGGGUAAGAGAGUGGAGAGGAGGGGAAGAGCAGGGAAAACUUGCUUCUGAGGCCUUCCAAUCUCCUUUAGUUUAAAGCACUUGGCAUGCCAAAGCACCACAGUUUAGGGUGUCAGUUUUUGAGCCCUAACAUCGGGAAAGGGAAGAGGUCAGAGCAUGGCAGUUUUUCAGGUUAUUGAGCGCUCAUUACCAUUUUCUUCCAUUUUAUAAGCAGAUGAUUAUCACUCAAGAUAAAUAUGAAAACAGCACUUAAGGAGAGUGUGGGACUUGAAUUCAGAGGACCUGGAUCCAAAUACUAGUUCUUCAUUCUAUUAGCUGUGAGGAUUUGGACAAAUUCCUUUACCUCUCUGAGUCGUGAUUUUUAAUCUGUAAAAUGGAGAUAAUGGUACCUACUUCACAACUCUGUUCCACAAGCUGAAUCAAUGGAUAUAGGUUAAAAAAAGCUUUGUAAGCAGUAAAGCACUAGGCAAAUAUUAGUUACUAUAAUCGGUUCUUUCCUUUUGCCAUUUGCAUCUGUGACCUCAAAAGUACAUCUCAGGAUGAUGGAACUUUAAAAAAAUGAUGAAGUUUCUUGGCUCUCCCGUAUCUGUUAGCAAGAAACUUCUUUUAACUUGUGUGAUUUUCCAGCAGUUAUCCAAGCUUAAAAGUUUCAUAAAAAAGGACAAAUUCCCAAUGUUCAACCUUCUAAAAUAAAAAGGAAUGACUCACAGGUCAUUAGCAUCCCUGGAACAUAGUGGCUUCUGUUUUAUUGCU